rnacentral:rRNA from 1 species
ACUUUUAUCAGGAACGAAAUACCACGGGUUAAUAACCUAUGGGGCUGACGGUACCUGAGGAAUAAGCACUGGCUAACUUCGUGCCAGCAGCCGCGGUAAUACGAAGGGUGCAAGCGUUAAUCGGAAUUACUGGGCGUAAAGGGUGCGUAGGCGGUUAUUUAAGUCUGUCGUGAAAUCCCCGGGCUCAACCUGGGAAUGGCGAUGGAUACUGGAUAGCUAGAGUGUGUCAGAGGAUGGUGGAAUUCCCGGUGUAGCGGUGAAAUGCGUAGAGAUCGGGAGGAACAUCAGUGGCGAAGGCGGCCAUCUGGGACAACACUGACGCUGAAGCACGAAAGCGUGGGGAGCAAACAGGAUUAGAUACCCUGGUAGUCCACGCCCUAAACGAUGCGAACUGGAUGUUGGUCUCAACUCGGAGAUCAGUGUCGAAGCUAACGCGUUAAGUUCGCCGCCUGGGGAGUACGGUCGCAAGACUGAAACUCAAAGGAAUUGACGGGGGCCCGCACAAGCGGUGGAGUAUGUGGUUUAAUUCGAUGCAACGCGAAGAACCUUACCUGGCCUUGACAUGUCUGGAAUCCUUGAGAGAUCGAGGAGUGCCUUCGGGAAUCAGAACACAGGUGCUGCAUGGCUGUCGUCAGCUCGUGUCGUGAGAUGUUGGGUUAAGUCCCGCAACGAGCGCAACCCUUGUCCUUAGUUGCCAGCACGUAAUGGUGGGAACUCUAAGGAGACUGCCGGUGACAAACCGGAGGAAGGUGGGGAUGACGUCAAGUCCUCAUGGCCCUUACGGCCAGGGCUACACACGUACUACAAUGGUCGGUACAGAGGGUUGCAAUACCGCGAGGUGGAGCCAAUCCCAGAAAGCCGAUCCCAGUCCGGAUCGAAGUCUGCAACUCGACUUCGUGAAGUCGGAAUCGCUAGUAAUCGCGGAUCAGCUAUGCCGCGGUGAAUACGUUCGCCGGGCCUUGUACACACCGCCCGUCACACCAUGGGAGUGGGUUGCUCCAGAAGGCGUUAGUCUAAC